GUUUUCACCUAAAUAUAACGGUAACAUGUUUCGUUGUAAUGUCGAUGUAAUGAUUACGACGUAUUUCUCUUUCCACGUACAUUCGUCGUAAACUUACAUGGAGUUUACGACGAAAUCUAUUCGUCGUAAAUUUACAUUGCGUUUACGAUGAAAGUUGGAUUCCUCGUAAUUGCGUUGUAAACAUCAUGUAAAUUUACGACGAAAUAUUUUCGUCGUAAAUGUUCGUUGUUAUGGGCACGUUUUCUUGUAGUGACGUGAUAGAGGAUUGUUAAGCUAAACCUGUUAACAAUUUAUAUCCCAUUGGCCAUUGGCCUUUAAGUCAUCUCAAAGGAAAAUAUAUAGUAUAGAUAUAUAUGUCUUGUGUUACGUAAGUUAAUGUUGGUUCUUCAUGUAUCCGACUUGGCAUGGUUGAUAAAAUAUGUCUGAAGAAAAAACUAUAUUCUGAAGGGAGAAAGCGACUGGUUGGAUAACUUUAUGGAAAUUUGAGCAUAAAUACUAAUUGUAUAAUCGAGAUCUUUGAUGGAAGAACACGUAAGUUAGUAACGAUAAAACCUUCUAAUUUGCUACUGUCAUGUUAUGCUUUUUGUUUAUGAUGAUGACCCAUCCACCAAUACCCUUCGUUUAUAUGUGUAUAUCCAAGACCAUUGACUCUUGUACUAUAGGGUAUUUAAAAGGCAGCAUAUGUUUUUUAUACUAAAACAACUACUAUGUUGUAGUCAUAACAUUCACAUGCAGUAUAAACCUAAAGAAACCCUAAUUGCCUACUUCGGUUCUUCUUCUUUCUCCUUGAGAUAAAUUUGUUUUCUUAUCUUUUUUCCUUGAGUAUAGUAAACUCUAUUCUUGUAAGAAAUUUUACUAGGUUUUGAACCUUCUAAGUUUAGACCGAUUUAUAUGCUUGUAGACACAUGUAUGUCGGCACAAACCAAACAGAUAAUUUUUUAAUGAAAAAACAGGAUUAAAAGUUGACUGAAUGGAAAUCGUAUAAGAAGAAAUGAAGAAUCAAAUAGAGGUAUUUAAUAAAGUCAGUGUGUUUGAUAAUGUUAUUGCUUUCGUGGUCUAGUGACGAAGAGGAAGCUUUUAUAGAGAUAAAGCUAGAGAUCCGUAGAUUCUGAAAAUACCCGAAAAACUAGAAUAAUUACAAAUAUCUUAUUUAUUCUAAGAAUGCCUAAGAUCAAUGUCUUCUUAAAUUCGUUAAAAUCACCAAUGAUCUACCGAAAACAAAGAACAAAAGAAGAAUUCUCAAUUUUUAUUAAUCAAAUUAUAAACUGAAUACAACUCUAGGCAUAAUUAGAAGCUUAUAUAUAUAUGAAAACAUAAAAGCCAUGAAAACCCUAAUCCUAAUUAAAAUAGGAAAACUAUUAAAAUAAAGAUAAUACAAAUAAAUCGUAAUUAUUCUAAUUCUACGCUGCAUCAUCUAGUGAUUUUGUUUAUAUAUAAACUAGGUUUUAAGAUAAGAGAAAACCUAACGUCAUGAAAUAAUUCCAUGCAUUCCCUAAUUUAUGCAGGUGUUUCUAGCUAUGCUUUAGUAACGCUAAAAAUAUGAAAAAUCUGUAAGAUAUAUACGCGAAACACAAUAUACUGGGAUGAAGUUCAUUUUGCUAAUUAUUGUUUCAUGCGAAAUGCUAAUCUAUAUUAUGAGGCUAAACUUCACAGAUGGGACGUUCAUUUUAAUAGACAACUGAGUUAUCUUCAAAGCCCUAGGAUUAGAAACAUAGAAUAGACGCGAGCUGCCGAUCAUAUCAAGCGGUUUGGUCAUAUUUUUUUUUUGAAUACCAAGGUUUGGUCAUAUUUAAAUAUAGGUAUUGCUUACACCAACACUCUUCUUUCGUAACAUAAUAAAAAGAAGGAACUCAUUUCACUUCUCAACUAUAAAUAGGUGCAUUGUAUAGACUUUCAAAUUUAACUACAUAUAUCAAAUAACAUUUUAUAUAUAUAUAUAUCAAAUAACAAAAGAGGGAAUCAGAAAUUCCCUUUUUCUUAUAAAAUUUCCAAGUAUUACUUCUAUAUUUCUAAAUUAUUGUUAAGAUGGAAGAUGUGAACAAGUUGAAACCCUCGUUCUUGAGCUCCGAUGAGAGUCUGGCUGUUCAUGCUGGUACGUACGUUAACUAUACAUAUCCAUUUUCCCUUUAGGAUUGUUACUACUUAUCUGUUUUUCUUAUCACCUCUUAACUAUGUACUAGCAAUCUGUUAUAGGCUUAUAAGGUUUGGAUAAAGCAUAUGUAAUAUAUUUUUUGCUAUAAGUUCAUACAAAAAUACAUUAGUUUGUUGUGUUAUCCGCUUUGAUCUAAAUUCUGAAAGUUCAGAUAACCUGAAGAAAUUACCAAAAUAUAAUAUCCGUUAGAAGAUAAACAUUUUCUGUUUCAUGGAAAUUCAUUAUAUUCUAUAUUCAACGUUAAACAUAUAUAUAUUUAGAAUUUUAUUAUAUAAAAAAUUUGGUUCCUCAUUAUUCCUAAUUAACAUGAUCGACACAUGUGAAUAAAAAAUUAAAAUUGUGAUAUGUAUUAAAAAUUAUCUAUAAAUAUAUAACAAUAAUUAUCUAAAAUAAAUCAUUAGCUAUUUAUUUUUAUAAAUCCUAACUAAAAGAGAACUGUAAAACUUAUUUGAUAAUAACUUUUUAAUGAAAAAAACUUACCAGGAUCCUAAAAAAUCUAAAAUAAAUCUUACACACGACAUAUGAAAAAACUUCAUAAAAUUACAGUAAAAGAUAUUUUUCAUUUCUUAAGUUUUUCAUAAAAUUAAACAUUAAACAAAACUCAUGCAAUGCAUCCAGCUGCGAAGUUAGGAGUUUAGUCUCUCAAAAAAUGGAAUAUAAAUAAAAUUACAGGUGCAUGUGCACCCACAAUGUAUAAGAUCAUUUCAAACUUCAUUUCAUACUUUACUUAAAAUAAAAUUUAGAGUAAGAAAUAUUUUAAUUCUUCUCCGUUUUUCACUAAUAGUGGAAAUAAAAAUAGGUUUACUCCAUAAAUGAAAUAAUACUUUUACUUUUUGUUCACUAUUUUUUUUUCAUUUUUAAAUAGAGUAUAUAUUUAGAGUAAAAUUCAACUCUAUUGUAAGGUUAAUCUAUUUUAAAGAAAAAAAUCAGUUUUAUCUUGGAGAUGUUCUGUUGCACAAUUUUUUUUUUUGGAGAUGUUCCAAGGUGGCUUCGCUCCUAUGCCCAUAUCUAGUUGUUAUUAAUAAAAAUAAUAUAUAAAAUAAUUAUUAAUAAAAUAAUAAUAAUUUAUUUUAAGCUUGUCUUUUAUUUUAUUUUUUGUCCUCGCUUACGUGCAUAGUAAAACAAUUCUUCCUCUUGUUCUUAUACAUCCUUUUCGUGUUAACUCUCCGACAAGCCUUUAAUUAUGGGGAUAGUCAGAAGUGCUUGCCUCCUUUAAUUUGUUUUAUCUUCCUUUCAUUCAUUUGAUAAGAAUGUCAAUUUCGUGACUGGAGAAUGGGUUUGAUGGUUUAUCGUCAGGUGAAAGAUUAGGUCGUGAAAUAGUCACAAAUUCGAUAAGGACCCCUGCAGUAAGCACAACGACUUACUUCUACAAGAAUUCCUCCGAGCUUAUCGACUCCAAGGAGAAACGGAUUGUAUAUAUCUCAAGAGUAUAUUCGUUAAGGAAGUCCAACGAAUAUAGUACUCGAAGAGAAGAUAAGGUCUCUCUCUCUCUCUCUCUCUCUCUCUCUCUCUCUCUCUCUCUCUCUCUCUCUCUCUCUCUCUCUCUCUCUCUCUCUCUCUCUCUCUCUCUCUCGAAUCAACUUCGGUUAUGGCAUCUGGUAUGUGUACAAGUACUGUUGUGCUGUUAGCAAUGGUUCCAAGAGGUGGACAUAUUGUCACAACUACGGAUUGUUACAAGGAGACAAGGAUGUUCAUUGAGACUUUUCUUCCCAAAUUGGGAAUCACUCCGACUCUAAUUGACGCUACUGAUAUCGCGGGCCUUCAAGCCAUAGUUAAUAACCAUGGGGUCUUAUAUAUAUAUAUAUAUAUAUAUAACUUAUAACAUGUUUUUUUGUUUGUUUAAAACUUGCUAUGAU